rnacentral:rRNA from 1 species
UGAUGACGAGACGCUAAGGCGUUGAAGCAGUGUAUGUCAGACUUCCAAGAAAAGCUCGCAAUGUCAUAAAUAAAGAAUGCCUGUACCAUAACCGACACAGGUGGGUAGGUAGAGUAUACUAAGGGGCGCGAGAUAACUCUCUCUAAGGAACUCGGCAAAAUGACUCCGUAACUUCGGGAGAAGGAGUGCCUUAUUUAUAAGGUUGCAAUAACAAGAUCCAAGCAACUGUUUAUCAAAAACACAGGUCUCCGCUAAGUCGUAAGACGAUGUAUGGGGGCUGACGCCUGCCCAGUGCCAGAAGGUUAAAGAAGAUGGUUAGUGUAUGCGAAGCUGAUGACUGAAGCCCUGGUGAACGGCGGCCGUAACAAUAACGGUCCUAAGGUAGCGAAAUUCCUUGUCGGGUAAGUUCCGACCCGCACGAAAGGCGUAAUGAUUUGGAUACUGUCUCGGAGAGAGGCUCGGUGAAAUAGACUUGUCUGUGAAGAUGCGGACUACCUGCACCAGGACAGAAAGACCCUAUGAAGCUUUACUGUAACUUGAAAUUGGAAUUGGACUUUGCUUGCGCAGUAUAGGUGGGAAGCGUUGAAAAUAUUCUUGCGGGAGUAUUGGAGCUAUCAGUGAGAUACCACUCUUGUAAUGUUAGAUUUCUAACUUUGAACCAUAAUCUGGUCAAAGAACAGUUUCAGGUGGGCAGUUUGACUGGGGCGGUCGCCUCCCAAAUGGUAACGGAGGCGUACAAAGGUUUCCUCUGAACGGAUAGAAAUCGUAUCUAGAGUGUAAAGGCAUAAGGAAGCUUGACUGUGAGACCUACAAGUCGAGCAGGGACGAAAGUCGGUCUUAGUGAUCUGACGGUACUGAGUGGAAAGGCCGUCACUCAACGGAUAAAAGUUACUCUAAGGAUAACAGGCUGAUCUCCCCCAAGAGUUCACAUCGACGGGGAGGUUUGGCACCUCGAUGUCGGCUCAUCGCAUCCUGGGGCGGUAGUACGUCCCAAGGGUUGGGCUGUUCGCCCAUGAAAGCGGUACGCGAGCUGGGUUCAGAACGUCGUGAGACAGUUCGGUCCAUAUCCGGUGUAGGCGCUAGAAUAUUGAGAGGAGCCUUCUUUAGUACGAGAGGACCGAGAAGGACACACCGCUGGUGUACCAGUUAUCGUGCCAACGGUAAACGCUGGGUAGCUAUGUGUGGAGUGGAUAACCGCUGAAAGCAUCUAAGUGGGAAGCCCACCUCGAGAUGAG